AUUGAACGCUGGCGGCAGGCCUAACACAUGCAAGUCGAGCGAGCGGCGGACGGGUGUGUGAUGUCUGGGAAACUGCCCGAGGGAGGGGGGUAACUACUGGAAACGGUAGCUAAAACCGCAUACCCUAAGAUGUGCCCCGAUGGGAUUAGCUAGUAGGGGGGGUAACGGCUCACCUAGGCGACGAUCCCUAGCUGGUCUGAGAGGAUGACCAGCCACACUGGAACUGAGACACGGUCCAGACUCCUACGGGAGGCAGCAGUGGGGAAUAUUGCACAAUGGGCGCAAGCCUGAUGCAGCCAUGCCGCGUGUGUGAAGAAGGCCUUCGGGUUGUAAAGCACUUUCAGCGGGGAGGCGUUACCCGCAGAAGAAGCACCGGCUAACUCCGUGCCAGCAGCCGCGGUAAUUC
rnacentral:rRNA from 1 species